rnacentral:rRNA from 1 species
UACAGAGACUGCAAGCGUUAUUCGGAUUCACUGGGCGUAAAGGGUGCGCAGGCGGUCGGGUGUGUCAGAUGUGAAAUCCCGAGGCUUAACCUCGGAACUGCGUCUGAAACUUCUCGACUAGAGUACUGGAGAGGGUAACGGAAUUCACGGUGUAGCAGUGAAAUGCGUAGAUAUCGUGAGGAACACCAGAGGCGAAGGCGGUUACCUGGACAGUUACUGACGCUCAGGCACGAAAGCAUGGGGAGCAAAAGGG